rnacentral:rRNA from 1 species
AACGAACGCUGGCGGCAUGCCUAACACAUGCAAGUCGAACGAGACCUUCGGGUCUAGUGGCGCACGGGUGCGUAACGCGUGGGAACCUGCCCUUAGGUUCGGAAUAACUCCCCGAAAGGGGUGCUAAUACCGGAUAAUGUCUUCGGACCAAAGAUUUAUCGCCUUUGGCUGGGCCCGCGUUUGAUUAGCUAGUUGGUAGGGUAAAAGCCUACCAAGGCGACGAUCCAUAGCUGGUCUGAGAAGAUGAUCAGCCACACUGGGACUGGGACCCGGCCCAAACUCCUACGGGAGGGAGGAGGGGGGAAAAAUGGGAAAAGGGCGAAAGGCUGGACCAGCAAAGGCGGGGGGAGGAUGGAAGGCUUAGGGGUGUAAAGCUCUUUUACCCGGGAUGGUAAAGAAAGUAACGGGGAGAAAAGCUCCGGGUAAAUCCGGGG